GGCCUAAUGGUCUAGUCGUAUGAUUCUCGCUUUGGGUGCUCCUGCGGAAUUCCCCUGCGAGAGGUCCUGGGUUCAAUUCCCAGUUAGGCCC